rnacentral:rRNA from 1 species
GACGAACGCUGGCGGCGUGCUUAACACAUGCAAGUCGAACGGUGAAGCGCCUUCCUUUUUGGUGGGUGUGGAUGAGUGGCGAACGGGUGAGUAACACGUGAGUAACCUGCCCCCUUCUUCUGGAUAACCGCAUGAAAGUGUGGCUAAUACGGGAUAUUCUGGGUCUGUCGCAUGAUGGGUCUGGGAAAGAUAUUGUUUCGGUGGGGGAUGGGCUCGCGGCCUAUCAGCUUGUUGGUGGGGUGAUGGCCUACCAAGGCGGUGACGGGUAGCCGGCCUGAGAGGGUGGACGAUCACACGGGGGCGGCGACGCGGACACGACUCCGAGGGGAGGCAGCAGUGGGGAAUAGUGCACAAUGGGAGGAAGCAUGCUGCAGCGACGCCGCGUGAGGGAUGGAGGCCUUCGGGUUGUGAACCUCUUUCGCCAGUGAAGCAGGCCUGCCUCGUUUGUGGGUGGGUUGACGGUAGCUGGAGAAGAAGCGCCGGCUAACUACGUG